ensembl:lncRNA
UUAAGGUACAAAUACAGUACACACACAAAUCGUGAUGACAGAAAAGCUAUCAGCAAUAAAUCAGACUGUGGCUUCUGAAUGAUAUAACUAACUCCAGUCAGUGUGCUGCUUUUAAGAACUUUUUCUUCAAGCAUUCCCCUUGAUGAUAUGUGAGCCUGCAUUCAUUGCAGUGCGGUAUUUUUGUCCAUUAUGGUGCUAGGUGAGCACGUUUGUGGUGUGGCCAUGUUUACCUGUGGUCAGAUCGGCUAUACUGCCCUGCUGUGAGCCUUCGUCUACAUAUAGGUGAGAAAGGGAGUGAGGGGACCUGAAAACAGAUGCGGAAAAAGUUAAAAUUAGAAGAAAAGGCCCUACUAUUUUUCAGUGCUACAGCCAUAAACAAAAUGCCAGUCGGAAUGACCAGGGCGUUCAUUCACUAAUUUAAUUGGGUUUCUAAAUUCUGAACCUCACAUAAAGCAAGGCAUGUAAAUAAAAAAAAUAAAAGACAUUUGCGUAUGACUUCAUCAUUCAGGUACAGACUCGUCUGAUAAAUCGUCUGUCCCUCUCCAGGUGUCAGUCACAUUAAAUCAUCCCAUGUGCUAAUUGUUUUGAACCUCUUGCAGACUGAUGCGACAAAAAAGAGAGAAGCAAGAGAGAAAAGGAGAGAAUGGGUCCUGCGUGUCCAUGUUGUAUGGGUUUGUCUCGUGAUCCUCUGCGGGAUGCCGCUGUCACCCCGGCUGUGGCUAGCUGCUCUGCUGCUGCUGCAGGCUUCAAAGAGUGCAAGCCUGCCCACAGCCCUAAUUAGAGGGUCCCUGCCCAGAGCUGGGGACAAGCUAGCGGAAAGUGUGCGCAAGUGCACACACCACGCUUCGCUAGCAGCAAGCCGACAUGGGCCGGGGAUGAAGGGAGGAGUAGCAACCUCAUCACAUCUGUCCCAUGAUUCCUCUGCUUUACUCUCUUUAUCCACAAACACACUUUUCUCACUUCCUGUUUUAUUCUCUCAUCCUCUCAUUCCUGUCUCUUUCCCUGUAUUUUCUGUGUAAACACUGUUCAGGGAAAAGGAAGCAUUAAAGAAAUGUCUUGGUUUGAGAAAGAUGACCAGCAGCUAGCAGGAAAUUACUUGUAGCGUUCAUGUUAUAGCUUCUAUUCAAGUACGUGUGCGAAACAACCCAAGACAGCUGCUGUGGAGAUGGAUAUGGAGAAACAUGUGCUGCCCAAAACCCCAAACCCAAAUGAAAAAACAAUCACUAUGCUUCAGUAAUCACCAUGACAACUCAUCCUCAUCCCUCUCUUUCCAUUAUCGUCUCCUUCCUUUUUCGCUCCAUAAGCAGACAUUGUAUACUAACGCUGUUUAUGUUAACGCUAGCCCAUCAUUGUUUAUGUUACCUGAGGUUUUAACUGUUUUGACCAUAUUGUUACAGCCUAGUUAAAGGAAACGGGCUGUUAGCCAGCACACAGCUGGCAGGGCCAGCGGCGGUGUAGUAAAAUAUAAAUAUAAUAAGAACGUUUUUGAGCUGGUGUAUCCAUUCUGAGCAGUGAAACAUCACCACAAUGACCACAGCUGUGGCAUACGUGCAGGAACGAAAAAAAAGGCCAGGCCUCAGGAGCUUGAGAGAGGGAGCCAGCAGGAGCAAGGAGCAGGCAAAGAUGUGCAGCAUGCGCUUCUACUGCAUAUUUAAUGCUGGAGUCAGCAUAUUUGUCCUAAACACUAGUAGCAUCCUCUCACGUUCAUCAUCAACUUCACAGACAUGCUCAUGAUUCUUCCUGUUUUGACUUUAAACGACUUAUUGUUUCUGUACAUUUAUGUUUUCCCCUCACAUUGUGAAGGGCCCUAUUUCUAGUGUGGUGCAAUAACAGUUUUGAAGACUAAAGCUGAAAUGAAAUGCUGACAGUCCAGUACCUAACUGCUCUUCCUAAUAACAGUCUUAUAUUUAGCUGAGAGGACUUAGGCCAAUGGAGAUCAGGGAGGAUUUUGGGUAACCAGGAAAAAGGAAAAAAAGUGAAGGUGGUUCUGAAGGUAUAGCAACAGAAAGAGAAAGCGAGGGGGCAGCUUCCACAGGCUGCCAUUGAUGCAUUGAGUUAUUCAGGGCUCUGGACUUUGGGCCUCAAUUACAGCUAUUUGGCAGGAGCACUUACGCAGAGAGACGCGGCUGUGGCAAGUCCGGACCACGCUGCCCGACCCUUCGCUCUUCCCCUGGGCAGUGCUUUGUUUUUUUAGCAGGCCGCUAGCUCAGGCCGCUUUUAGCCUCUGCUUUUAGACAUCUCUGGUAUUAUUUUUUCCUUGCUUGCUCCAACGAUGGCCUCAGCCGUUCAGGGAGCCCAAGUGCUUGGAGAGGGAAUAAAAUGAUCAGUCACUGACAGUGUACUUCCUGUAUGCAUAAAUUCUAUGACAUAUGUCUCAUCUCUUCGUUUUCUUCCAAGAAAACCUCCAACCUCUGCUGAUUUCAUUAUGGAUCUGGAUUAACUGAUGCAGAAUGACUGCUGAAAAGUUUGCGAUUGAGGCGAAAAUUUGCGAUUGAAGAGACAAGGAAAGACAGAAUGUGUGUGUGUGUGUGUGUGUGUGUGUGUGUGUGUGUGUGUGAGAGAGAGAGAGAGAGAGAGAGAGAGAGAGAGAGAGAGAGAGAGAGAGAGAGAGAGAGAGGACUUCUCCAUAAGGCUGUUGCGGACAGCAGGAAGUGGUGAGGGGAAAAAACUGCAACUAUUACCUUGAGGAGAACAAAAGGCCGACACUGAAACACCGAAUCCCACCACAAUCCACAAGAACGCCAGUCCUGCAGUAUAAAAACAACUAAAAACAGAGUUGUUUACCAUUUAAUACCAGAAAAACACCAAUUUGCCUAUGCUCUCUCUCUCUCUCUACCUCUCUUUUUUCCUCCUUCGCUUCCCAUAUCCCUCUCUCCCGUAUAUCUUUUGAGGUUUAAGUCCUUGGUUAGCUCUAGUACUCAUGUGACAGCCCUUCACUUACUUUACUGCCAGUGAUUGGCUGGUAUUAUGUCAAAAGCACCCAUCUCCCCCUAGUUUAUCCCUCCUGUCCUCUCAUUUCACAAGAGAAAAUUAAUAACUCCGCUACAUCAAUGGUCUUGGGCUGUGAUCUACACUGCUGCUCUCGCUCGCCUCAUGCUCAGCAGCCACUGCAGCACUCAUAGCCAUUCAGGUUGUGGGCUCUCCUCCUGAGGGUGGAAAGUAAUUCUGAGUGGAUAUGAAUACAUCUGAAGUAUCUGAAGUAAUGUCAACUCUCUAGUUCAAUAGGCAGGCCUUGAGUUAAUGUUCUUAAAUGUACUUCCUCUAAAGAGACAAGGACACAGUCCAUAGGAUCCGCACACUCUGUAAUUGGGUCUCUGUGACCUACAGUUUUAUCUGCCAUACAAGUACAUCCGUAUGUUCCAUAUGUACAUAAAUCCAAAAUCUGCUUUCAAUUCACCCAAGCCUCCCUCACACAUAUAUUUAUUACAAGUGUAGUGCUGCAUCUUCUCCUACCUUUCUAAGUAAUAGAAAAUGGGUAUUUAAACUCAAAAUCAGUUCCAUUCCUUGAAGGAUCAAUGUAUUAUAAGUGAUCAAAAGCAUGAAGGCAUUGGUGAAAGAGUGAAUGAGAAUGAGAUAGCAGUCAUUUUGGUGAAAGAGUGAAUGAGAACAAGAUACCAGUCUUUUUUGGUGAAAGAAGUGAAUGAGAACAAGAUACCAGUCUUUUUUGAUGAAAGAGUGAAUGAGAAUGAGAUAGCAGUCAUUUUUCAUGAAUGAGUGAAUAAGAAUGAUAUGCCAGUCUUUUUUGGUGAAAGAGUGAAUGAGAAUGAGAUAACAGUCUUUUUUGGUGAAAGAGUGAACGAGAAAGAGAUAGUAGUCUUUUUUGGUGAAAGAGUGAAUAAGAAUGAUAUGCCAGUCUUUUUGGUGAAAGAGUGAAUGAGAAUGAGAUAGCAGUUUUUUUGG